rnacentral:ncRNA from 1 species
GUACAUCGCUAGGGGUGCCUAACGAUUUUUGGUUUUUUAAGGCAAAAAGCUCAAGAGACCCAAAAACGUGAGGCUGAGAACACACCCUCGAACCUGAGUCUGGAUAAUGCCAGCGGAGGAAAGCAUGAGUUCUUUAAG